CCGUAUCCUGGCAUGCCUGCUUCUUCGUUGGCUUUCACGAGAGUCGCCAUAUUGGCCAAGAAAGGAGUUCAAGCCAGGCUGCGCAGGUCGAAUACGGCGGACGCAACCUUCGCCUCGGAUACACCCACGUUCGCGUAUUUAACUAUUAGAUUCUCCUCGUCGAUACAUCUUUAACAUGAUCGAUUGGACAGUAAACGAUGCUUGAAGUGCGCGGCUACGAUAUAUACGAGUGUUUACAUGUACAUUUAGCUUGGGAAUGUUUUACUCGGAAGGAAAGCACACGUGGACGCGAGCUUGCGUUUCUAGAUUUUCCUUGUAGCUUCAAUGAUUAUCGUCACGUUAAGUGUCUUCUUUUGCGGCGAGAAAGUCGGGAUUGAGUGUCAUCCACUAGGACAGAUGAUCUUUAAAUGAUGUUUUUGACAAAUUCCCCACUAUCUUUUAUCAACCCCAAACAGAUGCACCAAAUUUGUCACUAUAUCAGAAACUGGAGAAUAAAGAUUUAAAUCGAAAAUAAAGGACCAACUGUACGAUCGUUCAAGCUAAGAGUAGAGCGACGAGAUGCCGAAGAACGAUCGAGCUCGACUGGCCAACGCGAGGGAGGUAAAACCCGGAAGAGGACUGGCCCGUUUUCGAUGGUGGACCUGACAGAAGCAGAGAAGCGUAUCAGGGCAGCCUUAGCGAGGGCUUAGCCUGACUUCAUCGUGGAACCGUUCUUUUUCCUGCAGAACGUACACCGUGGAGGACGAACGUGACUAUGCGACCAUUUGCCAGUUUUAUUGCGGGUCCAGGCAAAUUACGACGCUACCCCUGAACUUUUACCGUACCUUUUUGAACGGUACGCUUUUUCUCUCCUUCUUCUUUGUGCAAAUAGCCGCGUGACGUAAUAAAAGUCGAACCUCGAUUGACUACGAUAGAAUCAUCCUCGAAAAUGUGAUUUCUUCCUGAACGUUCGAUUUCCGUUUAUAGUAAAUACAUCUCGCCGUCUGUUCUAGUAUAAAGCU